CAGCAGCCGCGGUAAUACGUAGGGGGCGAGCGUUGUCCGAAGUUACUGGGCGUAAAGCGCGCGUAGGCGGCUUCUUAAGUCUGAGGUGAAAGGUUCAACGCUUAACGUGAACAGUGCCUUGGAUACUGGGGAGCUUGAGUAUGGGAGAGGGCAGUGGAAUGGCUGGUGUAGCGGUGAAAUGCGUAGAUAUCAGUCGGAACACCCAUGGCGAAGGCAGCUGCCUGGCCUAAUACUGACGCUGAGGUGCGAGAGCGUGGGGAGCGAACGGGAUUAGAUACCCGUGUAGUCCCUGUCUCUUAUA
rnacentral:rRNA from 1 species